CCACCCCUUAUCCCCUCCCCACUACCGGCCCCCUGUGUUCCCUCCCCGGGUGCCUCCCCCGCCCCGUUACCGGCUCUCCCGACCCCCCUUUGCCGCUGUCACCGGGCUCCCGGACCCCACCUUGGGUCCCUUUUCCGGUUGCGGGACCCCGCUCCCCCCACCCCAGUCACGGUAUGUGCCUCCCCCCAAAAAACCCCCGACUCCGGUGCUGCCUCCCGGUGUGUCCCCGCUUGGGACGGGGACCGGGGUGUCCCCUUCCCAGCCGGGCGCUCCUUGUUGUGGUGGGACGGGGACGGGCCACCUCUGCUGACUCUGUCCCCCCGGGACAGAGCUGGGGUCCCCUGGCUGCGGUGUGUCGCCCCCCGGGACGGGAGCCCCCUGAGUGGACGCUUUUGGCCCCUGUGUCCCUGGGGGGGUGGUGGUUUGGGCUCUGCCCGGGGGCUCCGUGUCCCCCGGGGGCUCCGUGUCCACGGUGCGGCUGGCUCGGGGCUGGCUCGGCCGAGCCACCGGCUCCUGCCCGACCUGUUCCCGGCAGCCCGACAAGCUCGGGCAGGACCCGCCUGGCCCGGCGGUGUGCGGCACGGGGCUCGUGCCGUGGGGCACCGCGCCCUGGGCAGCGGCGGGGACACGAGCCCCCCGUGCCAUGGGUCAGGGUGGUCUACGCAGGUCAGCGGUGCCACAUGCGCUGUCCUGGUAUCCUGGUGAAGCUGUUUGUCCGCCGGCGCGUGGGACCGCUCCGUAGAUGCGGUGCCCAGCGGACACUGGGUUGGGUCACCAGUGGCCGGCUGGGCUGACGCCGUUGGUGGGCGCUUUCGGCACGCUGCCCCAGCAGGAGGGCGGGCGGGUGGGCUCCCUGGCACGGCUGCACCCGGCACACGGUGGCUCUGUGUGACUUGGCUGCUGGGGCCGAGGUGAAGCCGCAGGGCUUGGCUCUUAAACACCCGACAGGUUGGUGUCCGCCAUCGGAGGUAGCGAGAGGCCCUGUGGCUCCCCCAUGCUGGCCUUGCCAUCUCCCUGCCGCGUCCUUCCCCCGCUCCCGUCUCGCGCCACCCACCCGUUUGAUCCUCUCCCCCAGGAGCUCCGGCCCCGUGGCCUGUUUGUCCCUCGCUUCCGCCACGGGCACGGGCGCCGCGGCAGCCCCCCCUUCCCUUCCCGCCGGAGCCAGCAUCGGGGUGCUCCUCACUGCUGGGGGGCUGCGGGGCUGCCUGUGCGAUGGUUGUGGCUGCCCCAUGGCCUGGAGAGAACGUCGGGCACUGGCCGGUGGCUGCCAGCCCUGGAGAGGAGAUGGGGAAGAUCUCUGCUGCCCCGGCCUGCCUGUCCUCGCCAGCCCCUGGAGAUGCGACUGCCCUGGCAGGCAGGGCUUGCGGGCAAGUGCCGGCACUUCGCCGGGGCCAGCGGUGGAGUGCGGGAGCACCAGCCCUGUGCCGGCACCCCGGUGAGGCUGGCGGCCCCUGCCCUGUGCGCUGGGUCUGGCUACAGGGACCCAUGUUGGGCGCCUUCCUCCCGGGGUGCCGUGGGCGCACGGCACGCUCCGGCACGCUGGGGGAAGGGAGCCCUUCCGCUUCUUGGGGGAGCUGUGGGCAGAGCUGCCGGCCCCCGGACAGGCCUGGUAGCUGGCAAAGAGGAAGGCUGAUUGCAAGAGGCGACCCAUGUGCAAAUGUGGGGAAACUGCUGCGGCGUUUCCCCUCUGGGUGCUGGUGGCAGGAGGGGGCUCCGGCCCCGAGGACAGGCUGAUGCCGUCCAGGCAGUGUGGGGGGGGCUCGGCCUCGGCGAGGCUGGUGCUAACCCAGCGUUGCCUUGCAGCCGGAGCUGCCACCUCCCUGCGGCAGGUCGGGCGAGGGGUGCAGGCAGCAGCAGGGUUUCCUCUGCGGUGAACAUGUAGGCGGGGCGGCGGUGGCUGUGCCGGGGUGGCUGUGCACCGGCUGCCGGCUCACCAGAAGCAGAAGAGAUUGUUGCAGGUGCCGUUGCCCCGGUGCCAGUUUUGUGCCCACCGGCACAGGGGGCUCCAUGCUCCUGCACGUGCCGUAGCUGCACCCCCCGAAAGCAGGGAGCUGGCUCUGCUGCUGUCCCCACCAGCGGCCACGGUGCCGGGCAUCUGCUCGGUGCCAGGGGAUGCUUCUCAGCAGUGCAGCAGCUGCUGGCUGGUCCCAGCCACCGCCGAGAGCCAUCAGCGCAGCCGUGACCCCGCCAAGCCCACGCUUCUCCAGCAUCGCCAUGGCACAAUGCUUGGGCUCCCACACCGCUGGCUCUGGGAGCUCUUGGCAGGCGUCAGCGGGAUUUGCAGCGGGCGAGCCCUGGGCCACGGCACGCGCCUGUCCAUGGGACUGUGGGGUCCGGCAGCGGCACGACUGGGUGGGAUCAGGACCUGGGCUCCGGCACCGCCAUCGUUUCUCCUCCGGCAAAGCGCCGGCGGGCCGGGUGGCCUGGCUGCGGUGUGGCCUUGUGCCGGCUCCGUGGCCUCUUUCCCUCAGCAGCGGGGAGCUUUGCUUCCUGGCAGAUUACAGUUUAUUUGCUUU